rnacentral:rRNA from 1 species
AACGAACGCUGGCGGCAGGCUUAACACAUGCAAGUCGAGCGCCUCGCAAGAGGAGCGGCAGACGGGUGAGUAACGCGUGGGAACGUACCCUUAUCUUCGGAAUAGCUCUGGGAAACUGGAAGUAAUACCGAAUGUGCCCUUAGGGGGAAAGAUUUAUCGGAUAAGGAUCGGCCCGCGUUGGAUUAGCUAGUUGGUGGGGUAAAGGCCUACCAAGGCGACGAUCCAUAGCUGGUCUGAGAGGAUGAUCAGCCACAUUGGGACUGAGACACGGCCCACACUCCUACGGGGAGCAGCAGUGGGGAAUAUUGGACGAUGGGCGCAAGCCUGAUCCAGCCAUGCCGCGUGAGUGAUGAAGGCCUUAGGGUUGUAAAGCUCUUUCACCGGAGAAGAUAAUGACGGUAUCCGGAGAAGAAGCCCCGGCUAACUUCGUG